AUUGAACGCUGGCGGCAGGCCUAACACAUGCAAGUCGAGCGGUAACAGAUCUAGCUUGCUAGAUGCUGACGAGCGGCGGACGGGUGAGUAAUGCAUAGGAAUCUGCCCGGUAGUGGGGGAUAACCUGGGGAAACCCAGGCUAAUACCGCAUACGUCCUACGGGAGAAAGGGGGCUCCGGCUCCCGCUAUGGGAUGAGCCUAUGUCGGAUUAGCUAGUUGGUGAGGUAACGGCUCACCAAGGCCGCGAUCCGUAGCUGGUCUGAGAGGAUGAUCAGCCACAUCGGGACUGAGACACGGCCCGAACUCCUACGGGAGGCAGCAGUGGGGAAUAUUGGACAAUGGGCGCAAGCCUGAUCCAGCCAUGCCGCGUGUGUGAAGAAGGCCCUCGGGUUGUAAAGCACUUUCAGCGAGGAAGAACGCCUAGCGGUUAAUACCCGCUAGGAAAGACAUCACUCGCAGAAGAAGCACCGGCUAACUCCGUGCCAGCAGCCGCGGUAAUACGGAGGGUGCAAGCGUUAAUCGGAAUUACUGGGCGUAAAGCGCGCGUAGGUGGCUUGAUAAGCCGGUUGUGAAAGCCCCGGGCUCAACCUGGGAACGGCAUCCGGAACUGUCAAGCUAGAGUGCAGGAGAGGAAGGUGGAAUUCCCGGUGUAGCGGUGAAAUGCGUAGAGAUCGGGAGGAAUACCAGUGGCGAAGGCGGCCUUCUGGACUGACACUGACACUGAGGUGCGAAAGCGUGGGUAGCAAACAGGAUUAGAUACCCUGGUAGUCCACGCCGUAAACGAUGUCGACCAGCCGUUGGGUGCCUAGCGCACUUUGUGGCGAAGUUAACGCGAUAAGUCGACCGCCUGGGGAGUACGGCCGCAAGGUUAAAACUCAAAUGAAUUGACGG
rnacentral:rRNA from 1 species